GAUGAAGAACGCAGUAAAAUGCGAUAAGUAAUGUGAAUUGCAGAAUUCAGUGAAUCAUCGAAUCUUUGAACGCACAUUGCGCCCCUUGGUAUCCCGAGGGGCAUGCCUGUUCGAGCGUCAUUUCACCACUCAAGCCUGGCUUGGUGUUGGGCGACGUCCCCUUUGGGGACGCGCCUCGAAACGCUCGGCGGCGUGGCACCGGCUUUAAGCGUAGCAGAAUCUUUCGCUUUGGAAGUCGGGGCCCCGUCUGCCGGAAGACCUACUCGCAAGGUUGACCUCGGAUCAGGCAGGGAUACCCGCUGAACUUAAGCAUAUCAAUAAGCGGAGGA
rnacentral:misc_RNA from 1 species